GAUGAACGCUGGCGGCGUGCCUAAUACAUGCAAGUCGAGCGAACGGACGAGAAGCUUGCUUCUCUGAUGUUAGCGGCGGACGGGUGAGUAACACGUGGAUAACCUCCCUAUCAGACUGGGAUAACUUCGGGAAACCGGAGCUAAUACCGGAUAAUCUUUUGAACCGCAUGGUUCAAAAGUGAAAGACGGUCUUGCUGUAACUUCUAGAUGGAUCCGAGCUGCAUUAGCUAGUUGGUAAGGUAACGGCUUACCAAGGCAACGAUGCAUAGCCGACCUGAGAGGGUGGACGGCCACACGGGAACGGAGACACGGUCCAGACUACUACGGUAGGCAGCAGGAGGGAAUCUGCCGCAAUGGGCGCAAGCCUGACGGAGCAGCGCCGCGUGAGUGAUGAAGGUCUUCGGAUCGUAAAACUCUGUUAUUAGGGAAGAACAUAUGUGUAAGUAACUGUGCACAUCUUGACGGUACCUAAUCAGAAAGCCACGGCUAACUACGUG
rnacentral:rRNA from 1 species